rnacentral:lncRNA from 1 species
CACUUCUGGCCUCAAUUGUGUAUGUAUAAUUGGAACUCAUAUAUUUUUGGUAAUGGAUUUGUAAUAAUUUGCUUUACUGCAUAAAAUUUUAUCAUGUACUCGUAAUCUAUUUUUAUAUUUGGCACCCUUAUGCCUUAGUUUGCAUUGCAGAUGUCAUAGUUCUUCUUCCACGUAGAGAGUUUAGAACAGUACCUCCUUCAGGGUAAGAUGAGUUAUAGAGAUUAUAUAAAGAUGGCCACUUUCAGAUUAAAUUGCAUUGGGUAAACUCUUCUACAAAUAAAAAUUUAGUGGUGUUUAAAUGGAUAUGGUGAGUGAGUAUUACAGGCAUUGAUGUGAUGACUUUUAUUUAUUGAUUUGUGUUUUAACUUUGAAUUAUGAUGUUAAUUUAGUGCAAAUAAAAUGGUAAUUAAGUUGUGAGCAAAAAAAAAUUGGAAAGGAAAGGUGAAACAGAAACUCAUAUGCUUCUAUUCAAUAUAGCGGGCAAUGGAAAAAGGGUCCCUAUUUAUAGAAAAUAGGGACUGUU